rnacentral:lncRNA from 1 species
AUAAUCCCCGCCUCCCUCUCCUUCUGGCUUUCUGGACAUGGAUCCCAUGAUCCUCUUCAGGUCCCUUUUCAUAUAGAAUUUCCCUGAUAGUCUAACUUCCUUGAGGACAGGGGUUGGUUGUCUUUCUUUUGGCUUAUACUUGCAUUUCCAGAGCUUAGUACAGUGCCUGGCACACAAUAAGUGCUUAAUAAAUACUUGUUGCCUUGUCUGGUCCCUAAAAUGCUGGUAAAUCUUAAAGUACUACAUAGCUUUCACCAUUGUCAAUCUCAUCUUCAUAUUUGAUGAACCUAUGCUCUUUAGAGUACUUAGGAAAGAAAAACCUGACCAAGCAUCUUCAGCACUCUCUACAGUAUUUAUUAAGUGCCUACUAUUUGCCAGGCAUUAUGCUAAACACUACAAAUAAUAUCUCAUUUGAUCUCUCAAAACCUCUAGGACUUAGGUGCUAUUGUUAUCACCAUUUUUACUGAUGAGGAAACCCAAACUGACAGAGAUUUGCCCAUGACCAUUUAGGUUUUCGGGAUCCCUGUCUCAGAGCUCUACCCACUGGCUCUAAAGGGGGGCCCUGACCAAUCAUCACAUAGGGCAGUGAGAUGGCACAAUGGACUUAGAGUUCUAAAAAGCCUGGCUACAAAUCCAGCCUCAGAUAUUUACUGUGUAAUUAGCAAAUUAGUUAGUCAUUUUACUCAGUUUGCCUCAGUUUCCCCAACUGUAAAAUGAGCCAGAGAAGGAAAUGGUAAACUACUCCAUUGUUUUUGCCAAGAAAACCCCUAAUGUCUCAAAAAGUUGGACACAACUGAAGCCCAACCGAGCAGCCAGUAGGAAUGUCCUGGUGAGUUCAGCGGCCCUGUCCCGAGAGGGAUGAAGGAGGGGUCCCCAGAAUGACAUGACAAGGCAAAGGACCCCAGAUGAAGGAGCUGGGAGAUCCCAGCUCUGCCUCUGGGAUCCUGGGCCUCCACUUCCUCAUCUGUAAAACGUGAGCAGGGGGGAAGCUUCACAAAUAUUCUUUUCCAUAAGGUCUUUCAAAGGUCUUCCAGGAAAUCGGUCUGAGGGAGUUUGUGAAAAUGCACAGCCACAAACUGGUCAGGACCCUUCCAAGCCGGGUACAUUCCCCCCAGUAAGCCCCAGGGGAGCUCAUCCCCUAGCCUCUUAUCCUAGGAGAGUCAGGGAAAAUACCGCUACAUUUUUGUCUGAGAAAAGGUUUUUGGGAAUGGAAAAUAAAUCUCUUCUGAGGGUCAAAUAAGGGAGCCGGAGCCGGUCUCUUUAUCCAAGGCCUCAGGAAGGAAUUAGAUGUUCAGUGGCUAUACUCCUUAGGGGACUGGGAGGGCCCCAGAUCCAGCCCUAUGAUUUCAACAUCUGCCCUUCCAGGCUCCACCCUCACCUUAAGCCCCCAAACCAAGAACCGCAAGGAACAAAUACUGCAAGAAAAAGCACAGGCCGUCCAAACUGGCAGGUCCCCAGAACAGACUCCAGAGCUCGCAGGGACCUCGGGCCGAGCCUUGGAGCCAGGAGGAAGUGAAGUUGCCUUCCCUAAUUUUGCAGCUGAGGAAGCUCAGGCCCAAAGUCACACAAGCAAAUUGGUAUCUGAGCUGGAAUUUGAACUCCGGUCCACAGGCAGCCUUCUAACUACAUCCCUCUGGCUCCACAGAAUAUAGAAAGCCAGAGCAGGGAGAGGCUUCCUGCAGACAGCCCUGGACCUGAAGUCAGGAGUUCAAAUCUAGUCAUAGGAAGACCUGAGUUCAAAUCUAGCCAUGGGAAGAUAAGUUUAAAUCUAGCCAUGGACACUUUCUAGCUAUGUAAGUCUGGAUAAGUCACUUCACCUCUGUCUGUCCCAGUUUCUCCAUCUGUAAAAUGGGAAUGAUAAUAGUAACUCCCUCCCAGGCUUCUUGUAAUGAUCAAGUAAGAGAGCAGAUAUAAAGUGCUUUGUAAAGUUUAAAGAGCUAUAGAAAUGCUUACUGGUCAUAUGAUAUGGAUGUUAUAGCAGGGAUUAAAUAGCUAAAGAGAGUCUUUUCAAUUCUCCAUAAUAUUUAAUAGAGAUAAGUGCACUUGAACAGGAAUACAGUUAUCCCUUUCACAUUGCAGAGGUUGGGGAUCAGAGCCCCUGCAUCCUGGACAAUUCACAUAAAAUGGUUUGGCUUUCCCUUUGUACCACAGAGGAAAUCUGAAUUAGUAUAAUGUUAAAAAAUGAAAAAUGUUGAUAUUAUAGGACAUGGAAUUAUUAUGAUAUUAAAAGAUAAAAUAUGUUAAUAUUAUAUAAUACUACACAUUUAUUUUAUGCAUUUUUGAGGUUCUAAACUUUUUCUGUGUUAAAUACAGGCUUCGGCUUGGCAUCUGCAGCUUCUGCAAAACUUCCAAAAAAUUCCCAUUUAAUUUGUUGUGCUGACUCACUUUUCCAUGGGGAAAGUCACGGUGUGGAAGGGAUAAUUGUAUCUGUAAAGUCUUAUGCUUAGGAUAAACAAAUCUGCUGUUCAGACUAAAAGAGGCUGCAUAACGAAUGGUUCAUGUAACAGACAACAGACGUGUCCAGUGGAUUACAAUCUCAAUGCACAUGAACAUUGUGAUACAGUCAUCAACCUAGGAAACGGACUUUCAGGGCACCAACAAUUAACUCUUUGUGACUCCAUCUGAGGCUUUCUGGGCAGAGACACUGGUGUGAUUGGCCAUUUCCUUCUCCAGCUCAUUCUAGGAAACCGAGGCAAAACAGAGGGAAGUGACUUGCCCAGAGUCACACGGCUAGGAAGGCUGGAUUUGAACCCAGGUUUUCCUGACUCUUGCUCUCUCCACUGAGCCUCCUAGCCGUCUGUAGCAGAAGCAUAAGGGUCAGAACAAGAGAAGCAAUGGCCUCUGGCUGCUCUGUGUCAGACCACACCUGGUACGUCAUGUUUAUGUAUUUCUAGGAGUCUCAAGGACAAACACUGACAAGCUGGAGCCUGUCCAGGGAAAGGCGACUAUGACCAUGACCAUGGGAGGGUUGAACAAGGCCUAGAAAAGAGACAUGGGGGAUGGAGCCAGUGAGAGCAGUUCUCAAGAACAGAAGGGCUGUCACAGGGUGGGCAGAACGGGGACCACUGGGGGCAAGGGGCAGGGGGCAGAAAUAAGAAAGGAAAAGCUGACCACCUGAUAGUGAGAGCUGGGCUAAAAUGUAAGGAGAGGCAGGGAUGGCUGGAGAACGUGGGAAAGGAGCCCCAGUACAGGAACAGCUUAGAGUAGAGGUCAAGGAGGGCUCUUCCAGAUCUGAGACUGUAAUGAGAGUUAGUUAGUGGAGCUUGAGAGCCCAAGAUGUCAGAACCAGGAGGGCCCUUAGAACCCAGGAGGUCAGAGUUGGGAGGGCCCUUAGAACACAGGAGGUCAGAGCCGGGAGGGCCCUUAGAACACAGGAGGUCAGAGCCGGGAGGGCCCUAAGAACCUGGGAUAUCAGAGCUGGGAGAGCCCUUAGAACACAGGAGGUCAGAGCUGGGAGGGCUCUUAGAACCCGGGACGUCGGAGCU